UCUGGCUUGUCGCCGGCGGUCCCUCUAGAGUGCCCAACUGAAUGAUGGCAACUAAAGGCGAGGGUUGCGCUCGUUGCGGGACUUAACCCAACAUCUCACGACACGAGCUGACGACAGCCAUGCAGCACCUGUCUCUGAGUCCCUUGCGGGAAAACUCCUAUUAGGGAGCGGUCUCAGGAUGUCAAACCCUGGUAAGGUUCUGCGCGUUGCGUCGAAUUAAACCACAUGUUCCACCGCUUGUGCGGACCCCCGUCAAUUCUUUUAAGUUUUAGCCUUGCGACCAUACUCCCCAGGCGAAUCACUUAACGCGUUAGCUACGACACUGAUCCAGCUAAGCCGAACCAACAUCUAGUUCCCACCGUUUACGGCAUGGACUAC
rnacentral:misc_RNA from 1 species